AAUGAACGUUGGCGGCGUGGAUUAGGCAUGCAAGUCGUGCGAGAAUCUCCCUUCGGGGAGAGGACAGCGGCGAAAGGGAGAGUAACGCGUGGUUACAUACCCUCGGGACCGGGAUAGUAGCGGGAAACUGCUAGUAAUACCGGAUCAUAUCUUUGGAUCAAAGGUGUGAUUUCGCCCGAGGAUUGGACCGCGUUCUAUUAGCUUGGUGGCGGGGUAAUGGCCCACCAAGGCGACGAUGGAUACCGGGUGUGAGAGCAUGGCCCGGCCCACUGGGGCUGAGACACGGCCCAGACACCUACGGGUGGCUGCAGUCGAGAAUCUUCGGCAAUGGGGGCAACCCUGACCGAGCGACGCCGCGUGCGGGAUGAAGGCCUUCGGGUUGUAAACCGCUGUCAGUUGGGAGGAAGUGCCAGGGGGUCCUCCCCUUGGUUUGACCGAUCUUCAGAGGAAGGACGGGCUAAGUUCGUGCCAGCCGCCGCCGUAACAC
rnacentral:rRNA from 1 species